rnacentral:lncRNA from 1 species
AUAGUUUUCAGCACAUAACUGCAAAUGUUCAAUGUGCAUGUUUUCCAGGUAGAAUGUCAAAAUGUGAGGUUUGGAAACUCAAAGGUAAAGUAAAUGGUCCUGUCUCUCAUUCUGAUGGCUGGAAACUGAUCUGUUACUGGGACUAUGAAAAAAAACAUGAUCAUGCCUCAACAUGUAUUGAAUAAAAAAAGAGAAAGUAAUACAAACCAGUGUUUACUUAAACAAUAGCCACUGACAGCAAGAGACACACAGAUGGAAACCCAGUUGCUUGUAUCUCAGUGGGAGCUUUCAUUUGAGGACCUUGAUGGGGAUGUGAUUGGACUGGAACACUCUAAUUUACAUCAUGGAGAAUCUAUCCUGAUGCCUUUUUCCUGAUGCUGCUGUGCCAAACUAGGUCUCCUGUGAGAAACUGGUCACAUGCAGGGAGAAGAAAGGAAAGACUUUAGUCUGAAUAAGAGGAAAAAGCAGAGUUUCAAGUACUGCAAAUACAGGCUAUCUUGCUGUAUAUUGUCUGCUAUUUUAUGGACACAAGUAAUGGCAGAACCUUUUUUUUUCUUUUUCUUUUUAUUUUUAGAAGAACAGUAAAGAGGACAGCAGAGGAGCUAUAGGGCAUAUUUGAUGUGUGGUGCAUAUUGCCCUAUAGGUUAAGGAAGGAACAGAAUUGCAUAAUGUCCUGCCUGGAAAUGGCCCAAAAUGUACUUUUUUAGUGUCACUUCAUUUACAAUGAUAGAAUGAAAGACUGGAGAGAAGUUGUCCAUUAUAAUGAAUGCAGAGCUCAUUCUUUCAUCCAGGGAAUCUUAGUGUCAGCAAAAUGUAUGGAGAGAUUCCUGACAGAAAAAGCCCUAGAUGUAAUGGAAAAUGCCAGCGAAGAGUUCUAUGAGUUGAGAAAGAUUGACUUUGUGAAAUGACAGUGGAUUCCAUGUCAAGAUCUGAAAGUCUGAAGUCACCUAAGCAGAUUACUUUAUCUCCCCAGCCUUUCUGACACCACCAGUUAAUAGGUAAAGCCAUUCUUUUGUGGGAACGAUAAGCUGAAAACUACUGAUCACAUUACGCUUUGUAGCUCAAGGUAAUUAAUGAAUGUACAACUAAGUACAGUAUCUUCUAGUCAUAUCUACCAGGAGAAGGGAAUGCUCAUCAGUUUUCUGAGUUAAUUGAUAGAUGUAGGAUGGCUUUUUUAUUUUUUAUUUUUUUGUGACGAAUGAUUUAUUCCCUGGAGGGUAAUUCCAUGUCUCUUUUGUGACUGAGAGCUUGGGGCUUCCUGCUGUUAAUUUUCAAGUUAAUCUUGACCUCUAGUAACAGAGAAU